UACCGAGACUGCAAGCGUUAUUCGGAUUCACUGGGCGUAAAGGGUGCGCAGGCGGCCGAGUGUGUGAGGCGUGAAAGCCCGGGGCUUAACCCCGGAAUUGCACCUCAAACUACACGGCUAGAGCAUUGGAGAGGGUAGCAGAAUUCAUGGUGUAGCAGUGAAAUGCGUAGAUAUCAUGAGGAAUACCAGAGGCGAAGGCGGCUACCUGGACAAUUGCUGACGCUCAGGCACGAAAGCGUGGGGAGCAAAAGGG
rnacentral:rRNA from 1 species